rnacentral:misc_RNA from 1 species
AGCAGCAGCAGCAGCAGCACUAAAGAUCAUUAUGAUCAGAGGAUCUACAUUAUGAAUUGGAAUGAAUGAUCAUUUCAUUUCUUUGUGUUGAAGGCAGAUGCUAAUGCUUUCUACAUCAUUGAAUCCUUAGGAUAGAGGAGGCUCUUCGAGGACUGCAGAUUGAUUUCCACUAUUCAUCAACCUCCUCUUCAACGGUAUCUCCUACUUCUUCUCACUUACCAAGUGAUGGGUGCAUUAACUAGUGU